GCCUGUGUAGCUCAACCGGAUAUAAUAGACUCUUAAACUUGGAGUUUCGGGUUCGAGUCCCUCCACUAGCU